UUUACAAAACAUGGUUUCUAAUCAAAUAACUGAUACAAAACAAAAAUCACAAACAAAUUUAUCAAAUGUCAAAAUUCGAUUGCGCAUGUCACACAUAAUUUAAGACCUCAAAAUUUUCUCCCCAAAAUUACUUCGUAUUAUGUAAACUACCAACUGAUAAAAAUCAAAAUUCAACAGUAAGUGAAAUUAUGAUAUACCUUAUACACGGCGUAUAAAUAAUAAAAUUUAAUUCAAAAGUAAUAAAAUCAAAUUGUAAGUUUGAUGCGGCUGCAUCUGCUGCGUGCAUACUCGCAUCUAUUCAAGAUGGUGUCGUUAAUGACAAUGGCGUCGUCGUUCCGCGCAUGCGCGGGAGCGAACCGCGCUGCAUUAUUAGGAGGUACCACCGUAACCCGUCCAAUGAGUUUAUGCCCAGUUCAUCAUGCUGGACACAAUAAUACCUCUCCUCCACCUAUUGAUGAAGAGUACUGGCGUGAUAAAAUCCUAGACCGCUUGCCACGUCGUUGGUGUGAUGACCGUGCUGUUCUUCAGCACUACGAGAAUGUCCAUCCAUGGAGCCCGCCUACGGAUUUACAUGGUUGCGCUUGUUAUAUACCCACAGAUGAUGCUGGUCAUGAAUGUAACAGACCAGACGUAGAAGCAAAAAAUACUAAAAAAGUUAUGGAUUACUGCGAUUGGUACAGGUGUCAAAGAAAGGUCAAGGGAGAUGAAGGUCAUGAGGAUCAAAGGAGAUACUUUAGUAGUGAAAGUAAACCGCCUGUAAAACCCCCUGUUGAUAAAGCACAAGGAAAAGAAGCUAAGAAAGAAGCUGAGAAGAAGAAAAUUGAUCUUCAACCGGUUGAUGCCAGCAAAAAAGCAAAUCAUGUUGAUAAGGUAUCCUGUUUUCUAGGUCCUUUUUGUAAUAUGUUUAAAGGACUUUCUGCUAAAGGAAAUACAGUAGCUGCUCCUGCAGAGAAAAAAGCUGCUGAAUUUAAACCACCGGCAAAACCUGCAUCAAUAUCCGCGAAAGAUUCUAAACCAACCACAGCUGUAGUUGCUAAACAAACUGAUAAUAAAUCACAAUCGUCUUGUAAAACCACCAAAACCAAAAAGUCUAGCGGAUGUGAAAAACCUAAAGCUAAAAAAGACGUCUGCAAAAACCGGAAAAGAAAUCCACAACUUGUGCGAAACCAAAAAAGAGUCGUCAGCAUGUAAACCCAAAAGAAGUCUAUAUGUGAAAAACCUAAAAAGGACACGUGUAAAAAACCGGAGAAAAAGAAAGUAAACCGAAGGGAUGUGCGAUACCCAAAAAGAAGUCCGGCGGAUGUGAAAUACCCAAAAAGAAAUCGGUAACAUGUAAAACUAAGAAGAAAUCUGUUUGUAAAAAACCCAAAAAAGAUGUGUGUAAAAAACCGGAGAAGAAAUCAACUUGCAAGACUGAGAAAAAAUCGGUUUGCAAAAAACCUAAACCAGCUAAAAAAUCAACCUGUAAAAUGCCUAAGAAAGAUAAGUGUAAAAAACCUAAACAGGAUAAAUGUAAAAAACCAAAGAAAUCAACGUGUAAGAAGCCUAAAAAGAAAGACGAAUGCAAGAAACCCAAAAAACAACGUGUAAGAAACCUGAAAAGAAAAAAUCUUGCUCUGACACUUGUUCUGAUAAGAAACCCUUCAAUCCGAAUAAUUGCGGUUGUCAAUCACAUAUUACUAAACCACACAAAGUGGGUAGGGAUGGUGUGCCAUGUCCGUCAGAGACUUCUGUUUCCAGUUGCAAAAAAACAAAGAAUGACAAGUGUUCGAAAAAGUGUAAAAGCGCACCGACGAAUUCCUGCACUGUGAAUCUUUGUGCUAAUGACAAAGAUAAAGUGUUUGAUAUGAAGACUUGUUCGAAAAUCAAGGAGAAGAAGAAAAGUUUGAAGAAUAAAGUGUUUUCUGUUAAGAGCUGUCAGGAUGGCGAAUGUGACGAUGGCGGGUGUAAAGGAUCUGGAAGUAGCUGUGGAAAGGGAGGAGUAAAGUGUGCAGGAAUAAGCGGAGUGAGAUAUAUGUCGUAUGCAUCCUCACGAAAUGAUUGUGAUGGAUGUAAGCAAGAUGACGGUGAUUGUAAUGAGGAAAAAUCUUGUAAGAAGAAAAGCGGGGUAUUCAAUGCCAGUAUGAUGAAAUCACAUGAUGAGGAGAAUGGGGAGUGCAAAGCUACAUCAAAAACAAGUCUACAUCUACAGGUGAAAAGCUUGAGGCAGCAGCCAAAGUCGACGUCCUAGACAAUCUUGGGCACGUCCUCAGCCCGGACAAAGACUACAUCGCUGAAAUAGAGGAAUAUCAUAAAUGCAAAUACACCAACAACACCUACUUCAGCUUCCAUCCAACCUCAUUCCAUGAUAUGGUUCUGCAUCUAAAACAGUUUCGUGGAAAGCCACAUAUUCCCUUACAGCAACCUACGCCGGAAAAGAAGAAAAAUGACGCUCGAAAGGAUGAUCAAGAUGAAAAAGAUGACGGCCGCAAAAAGAAAAAAGGGAAAAAGUCUAAAGAUGGGGAUGAUUAACUAAUUUUGAUUCUUUUCAAUAGUUUAUUUUAUCUUUUAUUUUAAAACGCAAUUUUAUUAUAAUAUACACAUGAAAUUUAAGAAAACACAUGUUUAGGAAAAAAUAUCUAUAUAUGUACUUAAAUUCUAAAUAAGGAUGAACAUUUAAUAAAUAAUUGCUACAUGUAGUUCAA